AUUGAACGCUGGCGGCAGGCUUAACACAUGCAAGUCGAGCGGGGUGAUGGUGCUUGCACUAUCACUUAGCGGCGGACGGGUGAGUAAUGCUUAGGAAUCUGCCUAUUAGUGGGGGACAACAUCUCGAAAGGGAUGCUAAUACCGCAUACGUCCUACGGGAGAAAGCAGGGGAUCACUUGUGACCUUGCGCUAAUAGAUGAGCCUAAGUGGGAGUAGCUAGUUGGUGGGGUAAAGGCCUACCAAGGCGACGAUCUGUAGCGGGUCUGAGAGGAUGAACCGCAACGGUGGGACUGAGACAGGGCCCAGGCUCCUACGGGAGGCAUCAGUGGGGGAUAUUGGACAAUGGGGGGAAACCUGAUCCAGCCAUGCCGCGUGUGUGAAGAAGGCCUUAUGGGUGUAAAGCACGUUAAGCGAGGAGGAGGCUACUAGUAUUAAUACUACUGGAUAGUGGACGUUACUCGCAGAAUAAGCACCGGCUAACUCUGUGCCAGCCGCCGCGGUAA
rnacentral:rRNA from 1 species